CACAUCGUUGCCUUAGCAACGUUUGUACACAUCACUAUGGGAACCGCUGCGGAUCGAAAAAGGAAGUGAGUGACUUAGAAAAAAUAACCCAGCAGAGUGAAAGUAUAGUGGUAAGAAGAAAAAUGAAAGAAAUAGAUGAAAAACAUUUUUUAGAAAACGGUGAUUUAACAUGCCAGUGCACACAUGUAAAUAAUGUAGGUUAUUAAUCCAAAAUAACAGUGUAAUAUUAAUUAUAAUUUAAAGACUUAAGCUAUUUUCCUCAAUAAAGAAUAAACUAUUAUAUGAUGGACACAAUUUGUCCUAACAUACUUUGCCUGGAAUUACUCCUUUGCAUCCUAAAUAAAUACACUGCAUAUAAUAAUUAUUUACAUAUUUACAUGAAGCCCACAACACUAAGUCUUCAAAUAUAAUGAUGAAUAAACUCUUAUCUACAAAACCUGGACACAAAUAUAUGUAAACUUUUCAAGUACUUCCUCACUAUUUGGAAAAAUGGCAAGAUCUAAAUUUCAGUGCCACCUUUAACCCCUUAAGGACCAAACUUCUAGAAUAAAAGGGAAUCAUGACAUGUCACACAUGUCAUGUGUCCUUAAGGGGUUAAACCAAACAGAACUAACUAUAAAAAUCAUUAUAAUUCUGGUCUGACUUUAGUGUUCUAGGAACUUGCACUAGCAUGUCAAUCAUUAAUAUAAUUAUUCUAACUAGUAUAAGGGCGAAAACAAUAACAUUAUGUUUAUCACUAUUAUCAACAGUGAUUAUAUUAAUAAGAUAAUUCACCCUUUUAGCAAAAUAACUGUUUUUUAAAACCACUUAUAGAGUGAAUCUAACAGUUAUAGCUAAACGCCCCAAAUACAUUAAAACCCUAUUAUUACAAGCUGGACUUAUGCUACAAAAAAGAAUGAUACGUUAUCAUUUCAUUAAGUCCUCUGGGAGAGACUGUGUCAAGUUUGAAUAUCCAAAAGGUUUCUCUAUUGAGUAGCAACUUCCCUCUAUCUCCUCCUCUGCAUGGCUCUGGGAUAUGAUCAAUUGCAGUGAAUUUUAGCGACGUAAAUGGAUGCUGUAGGUCCAGGAAGUGUUUUGCGACUGGCUUGUCGCUCUUUCCAUCCCUAUAGGCUAUCCGAAUAUUUGAUCGAUGCCCACGUAUACGAUCACAUAAUGAGGUUUUAGUCUUGCCUAUAUACGAUAGGCCACAAGGACACAAAAGUUUAUAUAUAACAAAUGACGUUUUGCAAGUAAUCGUAUAAUUAAUAUGGAAUUUUUCAUUAGUAUGUGGAUGGUUAAAGGCACCAUAUGGCUGCAAGUCACGCAGCCAAGGCAUCUAACACUACCCCGUUUCUGGAUAUUCUCGACUCGGAUAUAACUUUGUGCAGGAUCGGUUUUCACCAAAAUGUCGCGCAAGUUUGUAUUGCGCUUAUAACAUAUGAGAGGGUUUUGUAUUAAAAUUGGAGGUAGUGCAGUGUCUUGUGCCAACAUAUUCCAAUUUCUUUCAAUGGUGUUGGAUAACUUGAUGGCCGUAUCAUUAUAUGUGAUUGGACAUAGCAUUCGGCUCUGUACCUCUGUGAUGUUUCUUGGAAUGAAUUCUCUUGCUUGCUUGCUUUAAAGACUGAUUCAACUGUGCAUUCUUAUAUCCCCGAGCUGCGAAUUUGUCUUUCGUUUGCAGUCCAAUUUGGUGAAAACCGAUCCUACACAAAGUUAUAUGCGAGUUGAGAAUAUCCAGAAACGGGGUAGUGUUAGAUGCCUUGGCUGCGUGACUUGCAGCCAUAUGGUGCCAUCACGUACCUUUAACCAUCCACAUACUAAUGAAAAAUUCCAUAUUAAUUAGUCACUCACUUCCUUUUUCGAUCCGCAGCGGUUCCCAUAGUGAUGUGUACAAACGUUGCUAAGGCAACGACGUGCUUGUUACAUCAUCACGCAAGGGCCGCGGGUCAGCGUGAGGGCACUCAGUUGGGCGCACAUGCGCGGUUUUUAUUAGUGAAUGCCGGAGAUUAUACACUGCACCUGGGGUAAGUCACUUAAUUAUAAUGUACAUUGCUAUAUAUUGGAUGUUGUUAGAGCUUAUUGUUAUGUCACUUGAUCCUGAGGAAGGUCCCUGCGAGGACCGAAACGUUGAUCUGUUAUUUGAUGAAAUAAAACACCAUUGAAUCUAUAUGACCGUGAGUGCAGCCUACAUUUUCAAUUUGCUUAUACAAAUAUCCCUACAAGGACUGGCACCCAGCGAGUCUACAGGCUAUUUACAAGGAACAUUGAGCGUGAGUGCAAGGAAAUUUGUUCUAUAUAUAUAUAUAUAUAUAUAUACACACACACAUACACACACACUCAUACAUAGAAAAUAGGAUAGAACUCAAGGAUUUGGUCAAAAAGUAAAUCGUAACUUAUUUAGCAUCAACUUUUAAGAUUCAUAAAAAAAUCUUGAAUCUUUUUUUAUAAUUUUGAAAUAUAGACCCUAAAUAUAAGUUGUUUUAUUUUUUAAAGAAAUCCUUGAGUGGGGUGCUAUCCUAUUUUUAAUGCACAUAUUAUAUUGCUGGAUUAAGCACCGGGUAAUUACAAUUUUUAUUUUAAAAUUUUGCUAAAUAUGGCAAGAAGACAUUGGCUUGUAGAAAAAUAAGGGUUUUAAUAUAUGUAGUGCCUCCUGCUGGCCUUAACAUCAAGUGCUGCUAAUUAUCUAUAUGAGUAACUCAAACCAAGAGCAAAUGGUUAUUCAGGUGUUAAAGUGCAGCUCUCGUAACUCAAACACAAAUUGUGAUGCAUUUUUUUUCAUCUUGAAAUUACAGUAUAUUUAAUUGUCUGAAUAUUUAUUUAUUCGAUAAUAUUAUGUUCUGCUAUAAUGGUGUACCAACGGGGCAUUAAUUACACUUCUUUACACCAUAAUAUGUGGUUAUUUAGUAAGUGCAAUCUUUUGUGCUACAUGUUAUGUCAGUGUUAGCUGCCCCACAGAGAAAGUGUUGGAUUGGCUGAAGUCAUCAAGGAGGCGGGGAGGGUGAAACACCACCCUGGCCAAUCAGCAUCUCCUCAUAGAGAUGCAUUUUAUCAAUGCAUCUGUAUGAGGGAAGUUCUGUCUUCAUGCAGAGUGUGCAGCACUGCCCCAGGAGGCACCUCUAGCAGCCAUUUGAGGAGUGGUCAGUGGAGGUAUCCCUAGGCUGUAAUGUAAACACUGCCUUUUCUCUGAAAAAAAUGUGUUAACUGCAAAAAGCCUGAAUGCACUGACUGUACUCGCCAGAAAAACUACAUUAAGCUGUAGUUGUUCUGGUGACUAUAAUGUCCCUUGAAGAUGCAGCAAAUACUUACUGUAAAACAGUCUCUGAUUAGCAACAAAGUCAGUCUGCUUCUCCAAAAACCCAAAUCUCUCAUUCCUAUACUACUUUCAUUCUUUGUAGAAAAAUACAAAACAAUUUGUACAAAAACACUAAAAUAAACCCUAAUGGGAUGAUUCACGAUACCUUUUGCUGAUGGGAAUUCCCCAGAGAAUUGUACAUUUAAAUUCAAAAAAACUGAGCUAUUGUUCUGAAUUCAAGCUGAAUUUCCCAUUUUGUUUGUCAAAUAAUAAUAAAAAAAAAGCUGAACAAUCUCAAAAUCAAUACCUACUUUAGUUAAUACAUUUGCAGGUGAUUUAUUCUUCAGUUUGACCUCUUUGCCUAUAAUAUGCAAAUCUCUGGUGAAUUCCUGGCAAUGCAUGGUUUAGUACAUAAUCUGAUAAUUAUCGCCAGUGUUUAUUACAGUUUGCUAGGGACUUUCCAAAUAAAAUAAUAUAAAGCUAC
rnacentral:lncRNA from 1 species